AAUAUAACAAAUAAGAUACUAUACCAAUAAGAUACUGACACGAUACAGACUUCGUGCCGAUGGUACAGCUCAAAACUCUCUAUUUUUUAAAUUAAUACGUAAUUUUCUUAAUAAAAUUUAAAAGAUGUGAUAAAAAAAUAUAAUAAAUAGUUAAAAUAUUUUGUUGCUAAAGAAAAUAAAUAUUUCAUGCUAUUAUGUGUCAGCACACAAGAGUUUUUUUGACUGGCACGCAUCAACACGGUUCGACACGCACCGUGCCGUACCGUGCCGGUAAGCUUUCGACACUACUUCAUGUCACGGCACUCAAAUUCUUAAUUAGAACUACACUCCAUAGAAGACGGUGAGUUUCGUCUGUACGACGAAA
rnacentral:lncRNA from 1 species